rnacentral:rRNA from 1 species
UACACAUGCAGUCGAGCGGCAGCACAGGGGAGNUUGNCUCNUGAGGUGGCGAGCGGCGGACGGGUGAGUAAUGCCUAGGGAUCUGCCCAGUCGAGGGGGAUAACAGUUGGAAACGACUGCUAAUACCGCAUACGCCCUACGGGGAAAGGAGGGGACCUUCGGGCCUUCCGCGAUUGGAUGAACCUAGGUGGGAUUAGCUAGUUGGUGAGGUAAUGGCUCACCAAGGCGACGAUCCCUAGCUGUUCUGAGAGGAUGAUCAGCCACACUGGGACUGAGACACGGCCCAGACUCCUACGGGAGGCAGCAGUGGGGAAUAUUGCACAAUGGGCGAAA